rnacentral:rRNA from 1 species
AGAUUGAACGCUGGCGGCAUGCCUUACACAUGCAAGUCGAACGGCAGCACGGGAGCAAUCCUGGUGGCGAGUGGCAAACGGGUGAGUAAUACAUCGGAACGUGCCCAAUCGUGGGGGAUAACGCAGCGAAAGCUGUGCUAAUACCGCAUAAGAUCUACGGAUGAAAGCAGGGGAUCGACAAGACCUUGCGCGAAUGGAGCGGCCGAUGGCAGAUUAGGUAGUUGGUGAGG